GACCCUUCGGGAGCUUGCACAGGUGCUGCAUGGCUGUCGUCAGCUCGUGUCGUGAGAUGUUCGGUUAAGUCCGCUAACGAGCGCAACCCUCGCUGUGUGUUAUAUGUGUCACACGGGACUGCCGGGUCUUAAGCCGGAGGAAGGUGGGGAUGAUGUCAAGUCAGCAUGGCCUUUAUAUCCUGGGCUACACACACGCUACAAUGGCCAACACAAUAGGUUGCUAAGCCGCGAGGUGGCGCCAAUCCAUAAAGUUGGUCUCAGUUCAGAUUGUAGGCUGCAACCCGCCUGCAUGAAGAUGGAGUUGCUAGUAACCGCAGGUCAGCUAUACUGCGGUGAAUACGUUCCCGGGGCUU
rnacentral:rRNA from 1 species